GGGUUUAAACCUCUCCUCAGGGACUCCCUACAGCAGGGGGUUUAAACCUCUCCUCAGGGACUCCUCACAGCAGGGGGUUUAAACCUCUCCUCAGGGACUCCCUACAGCAGGGGGGUUUAAACCUCUCCUCAGGGACUCCUUACAGCAGGGGGUUUAAACCUCUCCUCAGGGACUCCCUACAGCAGGGGGUUUAAACCUCUCCUCAGGGACUCCUUACAGCAGGGGUUUAAACCUCUCCUCGGGGACUAACUACAGCAGGGGGGUUAAACCUCUCCUCAGGGACUCCUUACAGCAGGGGGUUUAAACCUCUCCUCAGG
ensembl:lncRNA